rnacentral:rRNA from 1 species
CCUACGGGAGGCAGCAGUGAGGAAUAUUGGUCAAUGGGCGCGAGCCUGAACCAGCCAAGUAGCGUGAAGGAUGACUGCCCUACGGGUUGUAAACUUCUUUUAUAAAGGAAUAAAGUGAGGCACGUGUGCCUUUUUUUAUGUACUUUAUGAAUAAAGAUCGGCUAACUCCGUGGCAGCAGCCGCGGUAAUACGGAGGAUCCGAGCGUUAUCCGGAUUUUUUGGGUUUAAAGGGAGCGUAGAGGGGUUGUUAAGUCAGUUGUGAAAGUUUGCGGGUCAACCGUAGAAUUGCAAUUGAUACUGGCAGUCGUGAGUAGAGUUGAGGUAUGCGGAAUUCGUGGUGUAGCGGUGAAAUGCUUAGAUAUCACGAAGAACGCCGAUUGCGAAGGCAGCUUACUAAACUGCCACUGACAUUGAUGCUCGAAAGUGUGGGUAUCAAACAGGAGUAGAUACCCUGGUAGUC